CAACAGGGACGAAAAUAACUGAAUCUGAGCGUCAGAAUCUUCUCGUCUACCUAAAGCAUGAUCUCAGUAGUUCUGAGA